rnacentral:rRNA from 1 species
UACGAAGGGGGCUAGCGUUGCUCGGAAUCACUGGGCGUAAAGGGCGCGUAGGCGGCCUGCUAAGUCGAACGUGAAAUCCCCGGGCUCAACCCGGGAACUGCGUCCGAUACUGGCAGGCUUGAAUUCGGGAGAGGGAUGUGGAAUUCCAGGUGUAGCGGUGAAAUGCGUAGAUAUCUGGAGGAACACCGGUGGCGAAGGCGGCAUCCUGGACCGAUAUUGACGCUGAUGCGCGGAAGCCAGGGGAGCAAACGGGG